UUGGGAACUUGAGAAACAUCCUGAAAACUCACUAUCACUGAAGUAACAAAAAACACUGGCAAAGUGAUGGACCAAAUUUGGCUUCAUCUGCUUUUUCUUUCAGGACUCCUGUCAUAAACUCUGUG